AACGAACGCUGGCGGCAGGCCUAACACAUGCAAGUCGAGCGCGCCCUUCGGGGUGAGCGGCGGACGGGUGAGUAACGCGUGGGAACGUGCCCUUCUCUGCGGAAUAGCCUCGGGAAACUGAGAGUAAUACCGCAUACGCCCUUUGGGGGAAAGAUUUAUCGGAGAAGGAUCGGCCCGCGUUAGAUUAGGUAGUUGGUGGGGUAAUGGCCCACCAAGCCGACGAUCCAUAGCUGGUUUGAGAGGAUGAUCAGCCACACUGGGACUGAGACACGGCCCAGACUCCUACGGGAGGCAGCAGUGGGGAAUCUUAGACAAUGGGGGCAACCCUGAUCUAGCCAUGCCGCGUGAGUGAUGAAGGCCUUAGGGUUGUAAAGCUCUUUCAGCUGGGAAGAUAAUGACGGUACCAGCAGAAGAAGCCCCGGCUAACUCCGUG
rnacentral:rRNA from 1 species